CUGGUUUUGUGGUCCAGGGUCACACAUAGGCUAUCCACUACUCAGUGUCUAGGGAACAUUGAGCAUUGCGUGAAUCAGACGCAGCGAUGGUCAGCUCUAUUGUAAAGACUGAGGUGACCAGUGUGUCUGUGUCAAGUUCACUGUUCAGCCCACUGUGUUGCGUGUCGGAGAAUCUCGCUGCGUUCAGUUGUAGUGUGGGCGUAGCUGUGCCAUUGACGCUUGAUCGUUGCUGAGGGGGAUUGCCUCGCGAGUGGGCGGGAAACUGAGACCGCGAAAAAGCAAACAGUCAAGCGCGCUCUGUAGCGGAACGUUCUCGCGCGGUUACCAUGACGCUGAGAGUGGGUAAACGCCGCUCUGUCGCGCUGGCUCUGACCUCUGGGUUGGUAUUUGUUUGAGAUGGUCUGACACUUCAGGCGGCAGUGAAGGCUGAGUCUGUUGAGCUCUGGAGGAGGUCAUGACUCAUGUGAAGAAUGGGCAGCGCUCGUAGUCAGACGUCUGCCGAUGCUUCUCAAACGAAGACCAAAUUAGCAGCAGCAGCAGCUCUCUCAAAGUGAAGACAUCAGACGUGAUGGGUCAUAAACUUGGCCAGAAUCACGUCUUGGCUGCUGGUUUGGGUGGAGGUGGAAAGAAGCGCUAUACAGCCAGCCUGAAUGUACCUGACGACCUCAGAGACCAGAGUCAAACAGAAACAGACUGGGUGGCAUAUAGUCAUUACAGCGCACACAGAUCAAGGCUUUAUGGGAAGGGAAAAUUUCAGCAGGGGCCCAGAGUUUCUGCCUAUGAGUGCUUUUAAAAAUACUGAACUGCUUUUUAGAGUCAGCUUGUGUAGGUGUAUCUAUUCCUGUAUACUUCUCUCUUGGUCAUGCUUUUUAAAAGAAUUUGUAUUUUAUAGUAACCCAAAUGUAUUUCUGUGUAAUGUGCAUAUCAGUGUUUCUCUUAAUUGCUUAUAUAUUUAUUUUCACAAUGUGUAUUCAUGUCAAUUCUGGAAUUUGCACUGGCGAUCUGGUUUUGUAUUACUUUAUUGGACACUGACAUGUUAAUUAAAAUAUUUUUC
ensembl:lncRNA